rnacentral:rRNA from 1 species
UACGAAGGGGGCUAGCGUUGCUCGGAAUCACUGGGCGUAAAGCGCACGUAGGCGGACUCUUAAGUCGGGUGGUGAAAUCCUGGAGCUCAACUCCAGAACUGCCUUCGAUACUGGGAGUCUCGAGUCCGGGAGAGGUGAGUGGAACUGCGAGUGUAGAGGUGAAAUUCGUAGAUAUUCGCAAGAACACCAGUGGCGAAAGGCGGCUCACUGGCCCGGUACUGACGCUGAGGUGCGAAAGCGUGGGGAGCAAACAGG